AAUCUUCCGCAAUGGACGCAAGUCUGACGGAGCAACGCCGCGUGAGUGAUGAAGGUUUUCGGAUCGUAAAACUCUGUUGUUAGGGAAGAACAAGUACCGUUCGAAUAGGUCGGUACCUUGACGGUAACUAACCAUAAGUCCGCGGCUAACUACGUGCCAGCAGCCGCGGUAAUACGUAGGUGGCAAGCGUUAUCCGGAAUUAUUGGGCGUAAAGCGCGCGCAGGCGGUUUCUUAAGUCUGAUGUGAAAGCCCACGGCUCAACCGUGGAGGGUCAUUGGAAACUGGGGAACUUGAGUGCAGAAGAGGAGAGUGGAAUUCCAUGUGCAGCGGUGAAAUGCGUAGAGAUAUGGAGGAACACCAGUGGCGAAGGCGACUCUCUGGUCUGCAACUGACGCUGAGGCGCGAAAGCGUGGGGAGCAAACA
rnacentral:rRNA from 1 species